rnacentral:misc_RNA from 1 species
AACGCACAUUGCGCCCCUUGGUAUUCCGGGGGGCAUGCCUGUUCGAGCGUCAUUAUAACCCUCAAGCCUAGCUUGGUGUUGGAGCAUGCCUUUGGGCCGCUCUUAAAAUCAGUGGCAGUGCCUGUCGGCUCUAAGCGUAGUAAUUUCUCUCGCUACAGGGUCCGGUAGGAUACGCGCCAGAACCCCCAACUUUCUAUGGUUGACCUCGGAUCAGGUAGGGAUACCCGCUGAACUUAA